GACGAACGCUGGCGGCGUGCCUAAUACAUGCAAGUAGAACGCUGAAGGAGGAGCUUGCUUCUCUGGAUGAGUUGCGAACGGGUGAGUAACGCGUAGGUAACCUGCCUGGUAGCGGGGGAUAACUAUUGGAAACGAUAGCUAAUACCGCAUAAUAGUAGAUGUCGCAUGACAUUUGCUUAAAAGGUGCAAUUGCAUCACUACCAGAUGGACCUGCUUUGUAUUAGCUAGUUGGUGAGGUAACGGCUCACCAAGGCAACGAUACAUAGCCGACCUGAGAGGUUGAGCGGCCACACUGGGACUGGGACACGGCCCAGACUCCUACGGGAGGCAGCAGUAGGGAUUAUUCGGCAAUGGACAGAAGUCUGACCGAGCAACACCGCGUGAGUGAAGAAGAUUUUCGGAUCGUAAAGCUCUGUUGUAAGAGAAGAACGAGUGUGAGAGUGGAAAGUUCACACUGUGACGGUAUCUUACCAGAAAGGGACGGCUAACUACGUG
rnacentral:rRNA from 1 species